rnacentral:rRNA from 1 species
AUUGAACGCUGGCGGCAGGCCUAACACAUGCAAGUCGAACGAGUGGCGGACGGGUGAGUAAUGUCUGGGAAACUGCCCGAUGGAGGGGGAUAACUACUGGAAACGGUAGCUAAUACCGCAUACCAUCGGAUUUGCCCAGAUGGGAUUAGCUAGUAGGUGGGGUAACGGCUCACCUAGGCGACGAUCCCUAACGGGUCUGAGCGGAUGACCAGCCACACUGGAACGGGGACACGGUCCAUAUUCCUACGGGAGGAAGCAUUGGGGAAUAUUGCACAAUGGGCGCAGGCCUGAUACAGCCAUGCGGCGUGUAUGAAGAAGGCCUGCGGUUUUUAAAGUACUUUCAGCGAGGAGGCGUUACUCGCAGAAGAAGCACCGGCUAACUCCGUGCCAGCAGCCGCGGUAAUAC